CGAACGGGUGAGUAAUACAUCGGAACGUGCCCGAUCGUGGGGGAGUAACGAAGCGAAAGCUUUGCUAAUACCGCAUAAGAUCUACGGAUGAAAGCAGGGGACCGCAAGGCCUUGCGCGAACGGAGCGGCCGAUGGCAGAUUAGGUAGUUGGUGGGAUAAAAGCUUACCAAGCCGACGAUCUGUAGCUGGUCUGAGAGGACGACCAGCCACACUGGGACUGAGACACGGCCCAG
rnacentral:rRNA from 1 species